CACAAGUCCCUUCAUGGUGAACAACUUCCCGCUGUUUAGAACCACUAAGUCCCACACCUGCUUUUUGAAGGGAUUCCUCUGGAGCAUCAAUAUACCUCUCUAGCAGUCUUUCGCGGUUCCAUUUGAAAUAUCGAUAUAACCCUAGCACUUGCUCUCUCGUCAAAUCAAUGAUACUAGUAAGUUGAUUAAUCUUCUCAUUUAGAGAGGCCCUAAGAUCGCGAACGCUGACCACUCUAUAGCUCACGCUGUGAGCUCUCCGCCGUUUCCUCUCUACAGUGAACCCAUCAUCAUCGAUUUCUGCAUCUUCAUCAAAUUCAUCCUCGAAUUCAGAAGCAUCCAAAAGAUCGUUUUCAAAUUCUUCCUCAUAAAAUUCAUCGUCCAAUAGGUCAGACAUCUUAGCUUUAGUUAUUCACCGAAAUU